UGUAAGUCANGAACGUGUGUGAGAGUGGAAAGUUCACACAGUGACGGUAGCUUNCCAGAAAGGGACGGCUAACUACGUGCCAGCAGCCGCGGUAAUACGUAGGUCCCGAGCGUUGUCCGGAUUUAUUGGGCGUAAAGGGAGCGCAGGCGGUCAGGAAANUCUGGAGUAAAAGGCUAUGGCUCAACCAUAGUGUGCUCUGGAAGCUGUNUGACUUGAGUGCAGAAGGGGAGAGUGGAAUUCCAUGUGUAGCGGUGAAAUGCGUAGAUAUAUGGAGGAACACCAGUGGCGAAAGCGGCUCUCUGGUCUGUCACUGACGCUGAGGCUCGAAAGCGUGGGUAGCGAACAGGAUUAGAUACCCUGGUAGUCCACGCCGUAAACGAUGAGUGCUAGGUGUUAGGCCCUUUCCGGGGCUUAGUGCCGGAGCUAACGCAAUAAGCACUCCGCCUGGGGAGUACGACCGCAAGGUUGAAACUCAAAGGAAUUGACGGGGGCCCGCACAAGCGGUGGAGCAUGUGGUUUAAUUCGAAGCAACGCGAAGAACCUUACCAGGUCUUGACAUCCCGAUGCUAUUCUUAGAGAUAGGAAGUUACUUCGGUACAUCGGAGACAGGUGGUGCAUGGUUGUCGUCAGCUCGUGUCGUGAGAUGUUGGGUUAAGUCCCGCAACGAGCGCAACCCUUAUUGUUAGUUGCCAUCAUUAAGUUGGGCACUCUAGCGAGACUGCCGGUAAUAAACCGGAGGAAGGUGGGGAUGACGUCAAAUCAUCAUGCCCCUUAUGACCUGGGCUACACACGUGCUACAAUGGUCGGUACAACGAGUUGCGAGCCGGUGACGGCAAGCUAAUCUCUGAAAGCCGAUCUCAGUUCGGAUUGGAGGCUGCAACUCGCCUCCAUGAAGUCGGAAUCGCUAGUAAUCGCGGAUCAGCACGCCGCGGUGAAUACGUUCCCGGGCCUUGUACACACCGCCCGUCACACCACGAGAGUUUGUAACACCC
rnacentral:rRNA from 1 species